GAUUAUGGAUUUGAUCAAACUGCACAAAUUAUGAGUGGUGGAUUGGAGGGGGACCUGUAUUUAUAUAAUUUUAUUUUUCUUCCAAAACGAAUUAGGAUUAUGAAAAUUUUUAGUUUCCUUUUCUUUUUACUUCUUCACUUUGCGGCAGUAUAUUUGAAUAUCUUGGAAAACUGGAUUUUGGAAUAUUAUGAUUUGUCUACUUUAGAUAAUUCGAUAGAAAUAUUAUAAAUAGACAUAAAAUGCUGUAUACAUUUUACAUUUUAAAUAUUUUAUUUUCAGAUACAAAAGUCUUAUUCCAAUAUUGGAUAUGAAGAAGGAAAACAACCAUAAAAGUAUUUAAUGGUUCUCAACAAUAAGGAGUUCUUUUAGGUUUCACUUUAAACUUCAAAUUAAACGAACACAAUUUUGGUGUUUGGUCAACAUUUGACUUAUCAUUUUUCCAAAAUCCAGUUUUCCCAAGAUAUUCAAAAUAUACUGCCGCCAAAGUGAAGAAGUAAAAAAGAAAAAGGAAACUAAGUUUUUUCAUAAUCCUAAUUCGUUUUGGAAGAAAAAUAAAAUUAUAUAAAUACAGGUCCCCUCCAAUCCACCUCUCAUAAUUUAUGCAGUUUGAUCAAUCCAUAAUAUUAAAGGAUAUGUAUCCCACAUUGGAAAAUCAAUGGGACAUUAAGUAAUAUAUAAAAGAUUAGGGCCAAUCCACUAAUUGCCAAUUGGUUUUGAGUUGGAAGCCCAUAAUAAACCCGAAUCUAACAUAGUAUCAGAGCCCAGAUCCUAAUAAGUUAAACCCCUAAUUAAUAUUAACCGUACCCGACCGGGUAUAUAGGUCGUAAUUGACUCGCUCGACCGAGUAUAACUGUCUUAAAGUUCUGAGAUUUCUGGCCGAUAAGAGCCAUCAUCUCGAGGAGGGGUAUUAAGGGAUAUGUAUCCCACAUUGGAAAAUGAAUGGGACAUUAAGUAAUAUAUAAAAGGUUAGGGCCAAUCCACUAAUUGCCAAUUGAUUUUGAGUUGGAAGCCCGUAAUAAAGCCCGAAUCUAACACAUAAUCAGUCAAAUCAGAUAUAGAGACGUGAUAUUUUUGAGUUGUAUGUUGAGAGUUCGAGAGCAGGCGAUGAUCUCCUCUGACGCAUCCGAAGUGUCACCACAGCACAAGAAAAGAAGUAAGAAGACGAAUGAGGAGGAGGCUUCUCCAUCAUGGUCGUCGUUGCUAGACGCUGUGGCUCUGAGCUGUUUGGCUCGCCUCACGAAAUCGGACCACGUGGCCGUGUCUCUAGUCUCUAAGAGACAUCGCUCUCUUGUAGCUGCCCCUGAGCUUUGCAUCACGUGGUGGCUGAUAGGUUGCACCGAGGCAUCUCAAUAUGUGGUCUGGUGUUAUAUUGAGAGAUGAUCCUCUCUCGUACUCGUAUAGCCUUAAGGUGGCUUUUAUGGUGAAAUCACUAAAGAAGAGAAGAUAGAACUAUAGUGUAAUGCAUCAGUAACGACACUAGAGUAAUACAUAUCCGUUGAAAGAGAAUGUCUCUUUCGCCAGUACUUCAUAUGCAAAGAUCAAACAACAAGCAAGCACCAAAUAUAACCACUUCUUUGUUUCUUAUU